rnacentral:rRNA from 1 species
UUGGAGGGCAAGUCUGGUGCCAGCAGCCGCGGUAAUUCCAGCUCCAAUAGCGUAUAUUAAAGUUGUUGCAGUUAAAAAGCUCGUAGUUGAACCUUGGGCCUGGCUGGCCGGUCCGCCUCACCGCGUGCACUGGUUCGGCCGGGCCUUUCCCUCUGGGGAACCUCAUGCCCUUCACUGGGUGUGAUGGGGAACCAGGACUUUUACUGUGAAAAAAUUAGAGUGUUCAAAGCAGGCCUAUGCUCGAAUACAUUAGCAUGGAAUAAUAGAAUAGGACGUGUGGUUCUAUUUUGUUGGUUUCUAGGACCGCCGUAAUGAUUAAUAGGGACAGUCGGGGGCAUUAGUAUUCAAUUGUCAGAGGUGAAAUUCUUGGAUUUAUUGAAGACUAACUACUGCGAAAGCAUUUGCCAAGGAUGUUUUCAUUAAUCAGGAACGAAAGUUAGGGGAUCGAAGACGAUCAGAUACCGUCGUAGUCUUAACCAUAAACUAUGCCGACUAGGGAUCGGACGGUGUUAUUUUUUGACCCGUUCGGCGCCUUACGGGAAAC